rnacentral:rRNA from 1 species
CGUAUGGAGCAAGCGUUAUCCGGAUUUACUGGGUGUAAAGGGUGCGUAGGUGGCAGUGCAAGUCAGAUGUGAAAGGCCGGGGCUCAACCCCGGAGCUGCAUUUGAAACUGCUCGGCUAGAGUACAGGAGAGGCAGGCGGAAUUCCUAGUGUAGCGGUGAAAUGCGUAGAUAUUAGGAGGAACACCAGUGGCGAAGGCGGCCUGCUGGACUGUUACUGACACUGAGGCACGAAAGCGUGGGAGCAAACAGGAUU